CGAACAUAUUUCUUAGUAGCUUCUUCAAACUCCUAAGUUAAGUAUUAUAUAGUCAAAAAUCAGCAAGCUAAAAAUACAAAUAAAACAUACAUAAAUAUUCUAAAAACAAAUUUGCUUCAAACAACAACAAGAAAAUGAAACCGAAAUGGAGUGUUUUUAGGCCUCGAAACAUAAUAAAUAGCGGGCAAAUUCAAGAGAGAAGAAGAAAAUACCAAACAACAAAAUAUAUAGCCGCCACACCACACCAUUACCAUCCCCACCUUCAUAUUCCGACGGUUGUAAGAUUUACAAAUAAUGUAAAUCACACGACGAAGACGAAGAGUUCUACUCUCCCAAAGGCUCCCUAAACGGCAGGGAAAGUUCUUUUGGCAAUGGAUCAGCUUCCAGAAGGGCGUUUGCUGCGAUAGAAGAGGAGAAUUUCAAUGCGCCCGCUUCGAGUUCCUCAUCAACUUCUUCAUCUUCCCUUUCCGAUCCAGAUCCAGGUCCGGGUCUCCCGCAAGGUCCGUUUCGUUGAGUCUUUCCCCAAUGUAUCAUCACCCACGAUUUCGAAGAAGUCCGCCGUGUCGGAAAAGUAAGGAGAGAAAAAAA
rnacentral:lncRNA from 1 species